GAUUUCGUAGCUCAGUUGGUCUAAAGCGUUGGACUGUAAAUCCAAAAUGGUUUUUCCAUGUCAACAGUUCGAAUCUGUUCGAAAUCA
rfam:Blastocystis hominis, Singapore isolate B (sub-type 7) whole genome shotgun sequence assembly, scaffold_32